rnacentral:sRNA from 1 species
CCGUGCCAUGAUUUGCACCUGAUAUUCAGGGAUCACUCUCAAAAUGUGAGCCAUAAAGAAGAAGGCUGUGUCGUUGGGAGUGAGAAUCUGCAGCAACAACAUAGAAAUAAGCCCCUGCCAGGCUCCCAGUGGUUUCUGAGGAAAAUGGGCUUCUCUUUCUACUGUACUUGGCAGCUGGAAAAGCUAUUGAGUCCUUUAGUCACUUUAAAGUAGCACUUUAGCCAUUGAGUGCUACUGUGCUGGGGUGGGUGGUGAAUGAGGCCCCGCCCUUGGCCUCAGGGCAUUCUGGGUAAUUAUGGGAGGGGGUAUGACGGAAGGUGCCCGGAGUGGGCAAGGAGCGGACUUCGUGGAGGGAAGUUGGUAAGUAAGUUUCAUGGGAUGACAAGGGAGUCUGCAGCCCACUGAGGGCUUGAGGAUCAGCCAGGCCCUUGAAUGCCGCAUCUGCCUGGUAGCUCUGGGAACAGGGGCGAUUCAGGGAGCCUUACUUGUUGAGUAGAAAUCCAGCCCAAUACAUUGGUUUUGAUGUGUUCAUCUGUGAACCUGGGAGGCGCCUGCAUCUUCUUGGCCUUUUCUCCUGCUGACUUUUAACAGUGCACUGCCAUGUUUGAUCUUGUUUUUCAGAAAUUGCCCAGGUUAUUGCCUCAUACACCGCCACCGGCCCCGAGCAGCUCACUCUAGCCCCUGGUCAGCUGAUUUUGAUCCGAAAAAAGAACCCAGGUGGAUGGUGGGAAGGAGAGCUGCAAGCACGUGGGAAAAAGCGCCAGAUAGGCUGGUUCCCAGCUAAUUACGUAAAGCUUCUAAGCCCUGGGACGAGCAAAAUCACUCCAACAGAGCCACCUAAGUCAACAGCAUUAGCGGCAGUGUGCCAGGUGAUUGGGAUGUACGACUACACCGCGCAGAAUGACGAUGAGCUGGCCUUCAACAAGGGCCAGAUCAUCAACGUCCUCAACAAGGAGGACCCUGACUGGUGGAAAGGAGAAGUCAAUGGACAAGUGGGGCUCUUCCCAUCCAAUUAUGUGAAGCUGACCACAGACAUGGACCCAAGCCAGCAAUGAAUCAUAUGUUGUCCAUCCCCCCCUCAGGCUUGAAAGUCCUCAAAGAGACC